AAAGGCCUGUGGAACAUCUCAGAGCCUCUCAGUAGGAGCAGAGAAGUUACUGGGGAGUACAUGUAUGUGAUCUGCAGAAGCUAGUCAGGAUCCAACUUGCGUUUAUUACAUUUCCAUGGAUGUUCAGUUGCCUUCUUCUGCCUACUCCUGAGCUUUCAUCCAAGAGAAAUCAGUGUUUGCUUUACAAGACUUCCAGUUGCCUAACCCAAAUGCCAAUUUCAUAUGGGCACCCUGCCACUCUUCUAAAAGACUACAUUUUUGCAGGCAAUUUUGCAACCUGGAAAGAAGAUUCAAGGAGGAACUGAAAUAGAGAGAGGCUCCUUUGCAAACCGGUAUCAAAUAGAUCCCAGUCACUUGUAACAUCUGCCCUACCAUUGGAAUAACAUAAUGAGAGGCCUGGGCAACCCAGAGAGAAGUGUAAAUGACAGCAGUUACUAAUAAGAACACUGUUGAAUUUUGAAAAACUUUUGCAUGCUUUAAUUUCUCCACAUUUUAAGUAAUUAUACUAAUUAUGAGAGUGCUGUUAUUAAUUGUUUGGUCACAAAUAAAAACAAAAGUCAUUUCAAAUAUA